CUAUCGUCACACGUCGGCGACAAUGGCGGGAACGAGAAAUCAUACGUACACGUAUGUACAUAUACAAAUGUACUUACACGCCGGCGUUUCACGCUCUGCCCUCUCCACUUCUGCGUCGCUUUUCCAGGCGCAGGCUGUGCAGGAAUGCGCGCGUACAACUACGCACUUCCGUUGAUAAAAAUACACGGGAGGUAUAAUGUGUCCCGGUACACGCGCGACCGUCGUCAUUUUCGCUCGUCUGUACGCGCACGGUCGCGACCGACGGAAGGGGAGCAAACAGAGAAGAAGAAAAACAAGACGGAGCGAAAAACAGGGAGAUGAAGAGGGAGACGAGGGAACGUCGAAAGAGGACGCAAGUCGCAUUAUACGCGUACGCAGCACAAUAAUAUACCGACGAUAAUUUGCUGGCCGCAUGUGCGCCGACUGCGAGUGCGACCACGACCAACUGGCUGCCCCGGUCGUGCGACAUUAAGCGUAAUGCGAGUGCACCGUGUGCAUAGACGCCGCAUUAACGAAAAACGAGAACACGAAGGCUUAUUACAGCCGGAGAGAGAGAGAGGUACGUGUUACGUCGAGGAUAUUAUAUUGGGUCAUCCGAAUAGUUCUCACCGGAGCUGGGUAAUAUUAGGCGUUGAAAUGAAUUCUGUGCCUUUCUAAGGGACAUUAGCAAAAAUAUGAAAAAUCAGAAUUUCUUUGUAUCGUAUAUAAUUUUAAUAUCCUCCCAAUGAAAAUCGAGCAAAUAUAAAUUCGACUCUUUAAUUUUCUUUAAGUAUUUUUACUUAAAUUUGAGUGGGCAGAAUGGACUUUGAAUUCUAUACAAAAAUACAUCUUUUUGAUAAGCAGUGUAUCGAUCGUCGAACUUUCUUUGUCAGCGCGGACCUAUCCGACGUCGCGCGUAACGCGCGUACAGAGAAAAGUCCAGCGUUCGUUGAGUUCUCGUCUUGCAUUCCGUGUUGCCCUGCAAAUUGACACGAGCACCAACGCGCGCGGAGGAUGCAAUGCGCAUUCGAGACUCCGAACUGGAAAUAAAAUUCGGUCAUUACGUGGGAUUAAGAAUCGCUCGGAACGGAGAAAAGGGAGGCUGUGUCGGUCGUGAUUUAAAAAUGAUCACCGUGCUGGAAGAGCGUACGGCGAAAUGAUCUUGGUGACGCUUCCUCUUCGAGAGCACAUCGAACUGACAAGAAGAUCCUAGAGUUAAGAAUUCGAAGAGUAAAUCUAUAGCCCGAAUGAUAUUUCGUUCUGAUAGGGCUUUCUGUUUUAUAAACAAAUAAGAUUUUUUGCCAGGACCAGAUUUUCCUUCUCGCUCGCAUAUUAAAUACAUAAGUCUUGUACGAUUGUGUUUGACAAAUAUUAAAUCUCUGUUUACAAAAUAUACAAAUAAUACUAGUAUUUACUGUACUUAUAAAAAUCUCGUUGAAUAUCGCAUGUACUAGUAUCCAAAAUGUCAUGUUACCAGUCACGGUAGGAAUACAUGAAGUGUCGGUAGGUCAAGUGUUAACAAUUCUUUUACAGGAAUAUUUGAGGACAAUUAUCGUAAUACAGAAUUAAUUUGAUCGUUAAAUUAGUUUUCUCCUUCUCUCUCUAAUUACAAAGAUAUAAAAUUGUAUAUAGAUCGAAUAUGCUUCGAACCCGGAAGCUUUAGUGUUAAUACACGAAGUGUUCAUUCCGUUCAAGAAAUAAACAAUAAUGUCCUUUCGUACGAAGUAGUGUUGGUACGCUAUUUUUCAUGUACGCAUCAGGUAAAGCGAGGACCUAGCGGCAAGUCAGGUAUAAAGCAUCGACGCCCGGUAAGGGUUAAUAAGUGAACCACUCUCUAAGCCACGUCCGAUCGCGUUACCUUAUCCCGAACCGCUGAUCGAGCACGUCUCCUCAUAAAUUUCCCUCGAUUUCCUCGGGCGUUUCGCGUUCGGACACCCGCGCCGUAGACAAGCGUGAAAUGGACGCGUGCACGUAUAAUUACGCUCGGCGCACACCUACGUCGCGCGGACAUCGUGUAACGAUCCGUUAAUAACGUUACCGUUAACCGCGCAUUAGUGGUCGCCGCGGCUAUUUGCAUAUCGGAUCGGUAAUUUCCAUCUGACGCCAGCCUAGAGAAACGAGUCCUCCGCAUGGGUGAUCGGGUGCAUGAGUGCGUGCGCUUCGCGGGCGUAUGCGUGGAAACAUGUUCGAUGGUACCGUAUUUAAACACGACGGCGCUAGGUGUACCCCACGCUGUGGCACCUACGUGCGCCAUUACGGAGAACGUAGCAGUGAUUUAUCCCAUACACUCGAAUCGGAGCCGUCGUCUCGAUCCGAAAUGGAUAUAUGUAUAUACGCGUGUACGGCGGCGUGAAUUUAAAAUGCGCGAAGAUCGGUCGGGCAGAUUAAGCUGGGAAUAACAGUAUGUUCCUACGGUAACUAUCAAUUACUCGGCCAACCUCGGGGAGCCUGGCGCGGGAAUUAUCGAGAGAUUAGAGAUUCGGAAUAUGUAUUUCUGGUUUCUUCGACGAUUACACGCGAGUCGAGCCUGGAGAUAUUCACGGUAUUUGGGAUGUCACGGUCUGAGGCGGAAUAAUACGGCACGCCUCGAAUGAUUGUCGGGUUCGGCGUUAUUGACAAUGCUUAUUACUAUCACGAAAUCGCUUCUAGGCAUUGAUAGCGGCAAAGAUAAAGAAACAUCAAUUUUUAUUUAGUCCUAUACAGAAACUUCAGAGGUACAGCAGCUAUUUUAUCGUAUAUACCAGCAUAUUUUUAUCGUUAUUACGAUCGAAUACUACCAUUUAAAGAUGGACAUUUUUAAACGUUCA